rnacentral:rRNA from 1 species
GAUGAACGCUGGCGGCGUGCCUAAUACAUGCAAGUCGAGCGAACGGACGAGAAGCUUGCUUCUCUGAUGUUAGCGGCGGACGGGUGAGUAACACGUGGAUAACCUACCUAUAAGACUGGGAUAACUUCGGGAAACCGGAGCUAAUACCGGAUGAUAUUUUGAACCGCAUGGUUCAAAAGUGAAAGACGGUCUUGCUGUCACUUAUAGAUGGAUCCGCGCUGCAUUAGCUAGUUGGUAAGGUAACGGCUUACCAAGGCAACGAUGCAUAGCCGACCUGAGAGGGUGAUCGGCCACACUGGAACUGAGGCACGGUCCAGACUCCUACGGGAGGCAGCAGUAGGGAAUCUUCCGCAAUGGGCGAAAGCCUGACGGAGCAACGCCGCGUGAGUGAUGAAGGUCUUCGGAUCGUAAAACUCUGUUUUUAGGGAAGAACAUAUGUGUAAGUAACUGUGCACAUCUUGACGGUACCUAAUCAGAAAGCCACGGCUAACUACGUG